AUUGAACGCUGGCGGAAUGCUUUACACAUGCAAGUCGAACGGCAGCACGGGGGCAGCCCUGGUGGCGAGUGGCGAACGGGUGAGUAAUACAUCGGAACGUGCCCGGUCGUGGGGGAUAACGUAGCGAAAGUUACGCUAAUACCGCAUACGAUCUGAGGAUGAAAGCGGGGGACCUUCGGGCCUCGCGCGAUCGGAGCGGCCGAUGUCAGAUUAGGUAGUUGGUGGGGUAAAGGCCGACCAAGCCGACGAUCUGUAGCUGGUCUGAGAGGACGACCAGCCACACUGGGACUGAGACACGGCCCAGACUCCUACGGGAGGCAGCAGUGGGGAAUUUUGGACAAUGGGCGCAAGCCUGAUCCAGCCAUUCCGCGUGCAGGACGAAGGCCUUCGGGUUGUAAACUGCUUUUGUACGGAACGAAAAGGCUCUGGCUAAUACCUGGGGCUCAUGACGGUACCGUAAGAAUAAGCACCGGCUAACUACGUG
rnacentral:rRNA from 1 species